rnacentral:rRNA from 1 species
UAGGGAAUAUUGCGCAAUGGGGGAAACCCUGACGCAGCAACUCCACGUGUGGGAAGAAGCAUUUCGGUGUGUAAACCACUGUCGGUUGGGAAUAAACGCUGGAUUCGUCCAGCUUGAAUGUACCAGCAAAGGAAGCACCGGCAAACUUCGUGCCAGCAGCCGCGGUAAUACGAGGGGUGCAAGCGUUGUUCGGAAUCACUGGGCGUAAAGGGAGCGUAGGCGGAGCUCCAAGUCGGUCGUGCAAUCCCGGGGCCCAACCCCGGACCCGCGGCCGAUACUGGAGUUCUUGAGUUAUCUAGAGGCAGGCGGAAUUCCUGGUGUAGCGGUGGAAUGCGUAGAGAUCAGGAAGAACACCAAUGGCGAAGGCAGCCUGCUGGGGAUUAACUGACGCUGAGGCUCGAAAGCGCGGGUAGCAAACAGG